UGUAUUUUUAUUUCGCAGAUGCCUAUCUGUUCUUAAAAUAAUAUGAUUUAAGAGGAAUGCUAAGAAAUUUACACAUUAUACGUUAUACUUAGUGGUAUAAAAAAAAAUUUGAAUUUAAUGCAUCAUUUUUUUUUUUUUCAAAAUCAAGUUUUGACGAAAAUUGUAAAAAUUAUAGCAUUUCAAAAUAUGUCUUACCGAACUUCUCUCGUAAUCGUGUUUCGUUAGCAAUGGUUUAUCAUUGUGUACAGAUAUAAAUAUAAUAAUCUUCUUAAUUUCCCAAUUUUUUUUUUUUCAUUUCCGUCAGCCCGUUAACGAGAUAUUCCACUUUUAAGUUAUGGUAGGGAAAUGAAUAGUGUAGUAUCAUUUGUGUAUAAUGGCACGGCACGCGGCGUUUUAUUAGAGUUUCAAUAGAAGCCGGUGUGACGGUGGGGAUGGUUGUCACAGCAAAAAUAAAAGUAACAGAACGCGUUUGAUAGAAAUAAUAUACCAAAUGUGAUGAAAAUCAAUUUGAC